rnacentral:rRNA from 1 species
UACGGAGGGUGCAAGCGUUAUCCGGAUUCACUGGGUUUAAAGGGUGCGUAGGUGGGUUGGUAAGUCAGUGGUGAAAUCUCCGAGCUUAACUUGGAAACUGCCAUUGAUACUAUUAGUCUUGAAUAUUGUGGAGGUCAGCGGAAUAUGUCAUGUAGCGGUGAAAUGCUUAGAGAUGACAUAGAACACCAAUUGCGAAGGCAGCUCACUACACGGAUAUUGACACUGAGGCACGAAAGCGUGGGGAUCAAACAGG